rnacentral:misc_RNA from 1 species
GUUGCAACAUGGCUGAUGGUAAAAUCUCUUUAUAAGGCUGCCUGUCCCAGCUGGCAGCAUGUGGUCAUGUUUUCAAAGAGGGGCAGCAUCACAUGCCCUGUGAUGCAAUUUGAAGAGAAUUCUAAGUCUGGAGUUUAUUGCUUUUGUUGUAUGUUAUGUAUAGGAUCUUUGUUGGUGUUUGUGGUGUGUAUUGACAUGUUCUGUUGUGGAUCUUUGAGUUACUAAGGUUAUUCAGUUAU